rnacentral:rRNA from 1 species
UGGCGAUGAACGGGAACAGCCCAUCGCCAAACUGCCAGCCAUCCAGGUUGCGUGGAAUGUGGCGUUUGGAAGGGUCUUCUCCACAACGGUAGCUGCCAGUCAAAGUCCAACUUGACAGUGGCUCAUCCCAUAGAGGGUGAUAGGCCCGUAAGGCGACAGCUUGGUUGUGUGGACCUCUUCCUCGAGUCGGCAUGCUUGAAAGUGCAUGCCAAAGUGCGAGGUAAACUCCUCGUAAGGCUAAAUAUGACUCCAAGACCGAUAGCAAACAAGUACAGUGAUGGAAAUUUGAAAAGAACUUUGAAGAGAGAGUUAACAGUACGUGAAACUGUAUGGUUGUAAACAAAGCCUUCCUCGAAGUUUUCCCAACGGUGACAGCCUAUGGGUUCUGCUGGUGCCUCAGCUCGGAUUGGUUGAAAGCUGACCGGGCUUGGGUGCAUGAUCGGUGGGCCCACUGGUGCAUCUCCGAGCGUGGAUUUACGGUAGGAACUGUUCAGACCGGACCGAAGGGCUGGGGUGAAGUUUUUGCUCCGGCAUCAGCUCCCGGUGGCCUGGCUCCGGACCGGACAGGCUCUGCAUGCCAACUUGUACAGCAAGCAACCUUUUGUUGUUGCGGUUGGCACUUCCCUAUCGAGUAGGUCGGUGUAGGCUUUGACCCGUCUUGAAACACGGACC